rnacentral:misc_RNA from 1 species
AACCGAACCAAUAACCGAAAACCAAAAAUUUUUAUUAUUACUAACCGAAAACCAAAUCGAACCAAAUUUACUCUCACCGAAAUAAUUGAAUUUCAUCAAUUCGGUUCGAUUUGAUUAUUCGGUUAUAACCGAAUAAUCAAAUCGAACCGAAUUGAUGAAAUUCAAUUAUUUCGGUGAGAGUAAAUUUGGUUCGAUUUGGUUUUCGGUUAGUAAUAAUAAAAAUUUUUGGUUUUCGGUUAUUGGUUCGGUU